UGUGCGGGUUACACACCCGUUACACAUCUGUACCUGGGUGUAAAACGUUCUCCUGCUCAUCCCUGAGCUUUGCGUGCGGGUUACACACCCGUUACACAUCUGUACCUGGGUGUAAAACGUUCUCCUGCUCAUCCAAGCCUUGUGUGUGGGUUACACACCCGUUACACAUUUGUACCUGAGUGUAAAAGGUUCUCCUGCUCGUCCCCGGGCCUUGUGUGCGGGUUACACACUCGUUAAGGGUUUGCACCCAGGUGUAAAAGGUUCUCCUGCUCAUUCCUGGUCCUUGCGUGUGGGUUACACACUCGUUAAGGGUUUGCACGCUGGUUUAAAAGGUUCUCCUGCUCAUUCCUGGGCCUUGCGUGUGGGUUACACACUCGUUAAGGGUUUGCACGCUGGUUUAAAAGGUUCUCCUGCUCGUCCCUGGGCCUUACGUGUGGGUUACACACUCGUUAAGGGUUUGCACGCUGGUGUAAAAGGUUCUCCUGCUUGUCCCCGGGCCUUGUGUGCGGGUUACACACUCACUACGUGUUUGUACACCGGUGUAAAAGGCUCUCGCACUUCAUGGUCACCCAUGGCUCUCCAUGGUCAUCCAGGGUCCAUGGUCAUCCACAGCUCCGUGGUCACCCACAGCUCCGUGGUCACCCCCAGCUCCAUGGUCACCCACAGUUCUCCAUGGUCAUCCAGGGUCCAUGGUCACCCACAGCUCUGUGGUCAUCCAGGGUCCGUGGUCACCCCCAGCUCCAUGGUCACCCACAGUUCUCCAUGGUCACCCAGGGUCUGUGGUCAUCCAGGGUCCGUGGUCACCCCCAGCUCCAUGGUCACCCACAUCUCCAUGGUUGGUCACCCCCAUCCCUGUGGUCACCUCACCACUGUCACGCCAGCUUAGCUGCUGCUGGCUCCUCCUCUGCUGAUCUUGGAGGAUUUUUCCAAAACGGAAUCAUGGAAUCUUGGAAUUCCGGGAAUUUCUGGGCUGGAAGAGACCUCCGAGGUCAUCGGGUCCAGCCCAGCCCAACACCUCAAGCAAGGCCUGGCACCCAGUGCCACGCCCAGGCUUUUGGAACACCCCAGGGACGGUGACGCCACCACCCCCGGGCAGAACAUUCCAGAACUUCAUCACUCCCAUAAAGAACUUUCUCCUGACAUCCGACCGAGACUUCCCGCGGCACAGCUCAGAGCUGCGUCCUGGUGUUCACGAAACCCACCCGUGACACCGGGAGUGACACAACCCA
rnacentral:lncRNA from 1 species